rnacentral:rRNA from 1 species
GUGCCAGCAGCCGCGGUAAUACGUAGGGGCCGAGCGUUGUCCGGAGUUACUGGGCGUAAAGCGCGCGCAGGUGGCUCAUUACGCCCGGCGUGAAAGCCCCCGGCCUAACCGGGGAGGGUCGUCGGGGACGGGUGAGCUUGAGGGUAUCAGGGGCUGGUGGAAUUCCCGGUGUAGUGGUGAAAUGCGUAGAGAUCGGGAGGAACACCCGUGGCGAAGGCGGCCAGCUGGGAUACACCUGACACUGAGGCGCGAAGGCGUGGGGAGCGAACGGGAUUAGAAACCCUUGUAGUCC